AGUAUGUGGUUUAAUUCGAUGCAACGCGAAGAACCUUACCUGGUCUUGACAUCCCGGAGACCCUUAGGAAACUAGGGGGUGCUUCCAUCUGGAAGAAUCUGGAGACAGGUGCUGCAUGGCUGUCGUCAGCUCGUGUCGUGAGAUGUUGGGUUAAGCCCCGCAACGAGCGCAACCCUUGCCUUUAGUUGCCAGCAGUUCGGCUGGGCACUCUAAAGGGACUGCCGGUGUUAAACCGGAGGAAGGUGGGGAUGACGUCAAGUCCUCAUGGCCUUUAUGACCAGGGCUACACACGUACUACAAUGGCCGAUACAAAGGGCAGCGACACUGCGAGGUGAAGCCAAUCCCGUAAAAUCGGUCUCAGUCCGGAUUGGAGUCUGCAACUCGACUCCAUGAAGUUGGAAUCGCUAGUAAUCGUGGAUCAGCAUGCCACGGUGAAUACGUUCCCGGGCCUU
rnacentral:rRNA from 1 species